ACCAGCUUGUUGGGAUCUCUGCG
rnacentral:piRNA from 1 species